CAAGCGAGAACUACUAAUAGUUUGUUCAGACUAGUUCUGUAUAAGCAAAACAGUUUUCGCAAAAACAGCCUGAGUUUCUUACUACCCAUUUAGCACAAAUAUUGCUGAUGGUAAUUUCCGAAUUCAGACAUUA
rfam:Tetrahymena thermophila SB210 genomic scaffold scf_8254752, whole genome shotgun sequence.